rnacentral:rRNA from 1 species
GUGGGGAAUAUUCCGCAAUGGACGAAAGUCUGACGGAGCAACGCCGCGUGAGUGAUGAAGGUUUUCGGACUGUAAAGCUCUGUUGUUUAGGACGAAAGUGCCUGUUGCAAAUAGUUACAGGUAUUGACGGUACUGAACGAGGAAGCCACGGCUAACUACGUGCCAGCAGCCGCGGUAAUACGUAGGUGGCAAGCGUUGUCCGGAAUUAUUGGGCGUAAAGAGCAUGUAGGCGGGAAUCUAAGUCUGUUGUUAAAAUGCGGGGCUCAAACCCGGAUUGAGAUGGAAACUGGGUUUCUUGAGUGCAGGAGAGGAAAGGGGAAUUCCCAGUGUAGCGGUGAAAUGCGUAGAUAUUGGGAGGAACACCAGUGGCGAAGGCGCCUUUCUGGACUGUGUCUGACGCUGAGAUGCGAAAGCCAGGGUAGCAAACGGGAUUAGAUACCCGGGUAGUCC